ensembl:snoRNA SNORD15 Small nucleolar RNA SNORD15
CUUCAGUGAUGAUACGAUGACGAGUCAGAAGGGAUGUCCUUGUGCCAAGCACAGCCUGGUCAGUGCCACGUUCUGUGGUGCUGUGCUAAGGUUGCCUUGGGCAGGAUGUCCUCCUCAUUGGUUGAUUCAGAGGCAUUUGUCUGAGAAGG